rnacentral:rRNA from 1 species
UACGUAGGCGGUUAAAUAAGUCAGGUGUAAAAGGCAUUGGCUUAACCAAUGUAAGCACUUGAAACUGUUUGACUUGAGUAUAGGAGAGGUAAGUGGAAUUCCUAGUGUAGCGGUGAAAUGCGUAGAUAUUAGGAGGAACACCAGUGGCGAAGGCGACUUACUGGACUAUUACUGACGCUGAGGUACGAAAGCGUGGGGAGCAAACA